AGAGCGUUUCUGACAUGCAAGCGUUUUUAGAUGAAUGAGGAAGCAGAGAGGAUGAAGGGCUGCUUCUGAGGACACCUGCUCGGCUGUGACACACGGCCACACCCGACGGACAGCAUUCCUUCCGAGUGAAAAAGGCCGUUCCUGCCUGGGACCCGUCAGACGAGACAGACCGUUCCUGCUGCUUCCACCUCACAGCCUGAAACCGCCAGCUGCCGCAGAACCUUCACGGACCCUCACUGACCAGACAUGACCAGCUGAGAAGAAGACCUCUGGAGAGCAGGAUCAGAAGUUUGUUCUUCAUUUACUGUUGGAUUAUCUGAAACACCAUGGCGCAGGAGGAGGGCCUGGAUUUCAAAGCCCUGAGGGAAAAGUUCCAGCAAGAAGAUCCCCUGAAGCUCCGAAACAAGCCCACCAUCCCGGAGAAGCCCAAACUCCUCCACUCUCCCACGAGCGGGACUCAGUCACCCCUCAUCUCCAGUAUCAAUGCUGCUGUGGAGAACCGGAUGUCUGUUGUGCCCCGCGUGGUCUUCAGGGAUGAGAAGAGGUUGUCCAUUGUGCGGCCAGCAUCCCUGAUGGUUCCCCAGAAGGCCAAAGAUGGAGACUUGCCCGUGAAGCCAGCGCUGCUGGAUGAGAAUCAGAGGAAGGAGGCUGACCUUGUCAAACAGGCCUUCAAAGACAAGAAACUUAAUUUGGUGCUUCCUGUUACAGCGGCCGAAUCCAACUCCACACCUCCAUCUUCGGGCAAAUCUGUGACUCCCAAGAAGAAGGGAAUUUUCUCCUUUAAGAAGACGCCAAAGCCUGAGAAGGAAAAAUCGGAAACAUUCGUGAUGGAUCCCGUUUCGCCAAUAGUGAACGUCCCAACUCCAACGUUCACUUCAUUUACUUUACCUGCAGUCCAAAAGCCUCUCCUGCCCCCAGUCCCCACGUCUACAUCCAGUAUUCCCAUUCCAGACAUUCCCUCUGAGACUCCUGACCAAACGCCUUCUCUGUCUGAAGAAGCAGAAAUGUUCAUUUCUCUUUCAGAGAUCCCCCCCCCAGACACUCCCCUGGCCGAGAUCCUAGUUGGAAACACUCCAGUUCCACUGGAUAUUCCGCCUCCAGUAAUCCCGGUUUCAUCUCCUCCUCCAGUGGAGGUUCUACAUCCUGCUCUCCCAGGAUCAGAUCCAGCAGUUCCAGAUCCAGAACAAAGAGAACCUGAACUGGUCAGAGUGGCCGCAUUGCCCGUCCCAACAGUUUCAGCCAGUCCGGUUCUUCCCAGAUCCGCUACACCAGCAGAACCAGUUCCUCCUGCAGGGGGACCUCCAGCAGAGGUGGUGAGGCCCGCCCCCGCCCCAGUGCAAGAUAAUGGUCCACCAGCAGGCGAUGUGGAACCCACGACUCCACCCAAACGUCCCCUGUCUGCCCUGUCAGCUCUGGAACGAGCGGAGGAGAAGUCCCCUGGAAAACGGGCCUCUGACCAGAGAGUCUUUAAUUUGUUGGAGAAGAUGAAGAGGAAGAGCAACCAAACAUCCAAGUCCCCCUCACCUGUUCCACCCUCCGAAACAGACUCUACCCCACCCAUCAGCCCCAGUUUUCCUCCGGUCGAUUAUGAGCACUCCAUGGCCGCGGCACACGUUGAGCUGGAGACGAGACCGCAUCACAACGGUUCCGUGUCACCUGUUCAGGAGGAGACCCCUGUCCCGCAGCCCAAAAAACCUGUCAGAGCAACGCGGUCCACAGAACGCACCUCUCUGGACCAAACUGUGGACCCGAGUCAGACCAUCAGCAAGCCAGCAGGGCCUGAGGGGGACACAGUGAUUCCAGUGGAUCAAGUGAUUCCUGCUCCAGUGGAUUUCUGCUCAGAGGAUCCCGUUCUGCACGUCCCUGACCUUUUACCUCAAAUCCAUGAAAGCAAAGUUCUCCCUGCAGCUGAAGGUCUGGAGGUGGAACCUGCAAUGCACAAACUCCUGAAGUCCCCUACUGAGGAUGAGGUGGUGCUGGAUGCGCCUGUUCCUGCUGCGGAUGGGAUUGAUGCUCCUCAGGUUCAGGUUGAAGGUCAGGUGCCUGAGGUCACCGCGGAAGGGUCAUCAACAACGCUUCCUGAUGCCACAGAUUGUCCUGUCAAUCAAAAUGGCCUGAAUCCAUCAGGGUCGGUGAAUCUCGGCUCUGAUGACGCGGAGAAGAAAAAAAAUAGCAAGAAACGCGAGAAAGACAAGAAGAGAACCCCAAAGAACCCCUAUGCUGAACCUCAGGCUGCAGUGAGUCCUGUUCCCUUGCAGAAAUAUAGUGACAAUAAUAUAUACACACACACACACACACACACACACACACACUCACACUCAUAUGUGAUGUUUUCGGUUUCAGAUGGAUCAGACGUUAAAAUCUGGGCGCUUCAAAUCAAAGUAAUUUUAAAAAAUGAUUAUUACUUUGAAUUUUUCCCGCAUUGCUGCCAGUCGCUCACUCUGGGUCUGAAACUCGUUCCAUUUCACUUUUUUUGGCAGGAAGAACAGCGCAGAGGUGGUAGAGGAGAAGGAGCAGAAGAAGAAGGAGAAGCAGCGGGAGAAGGAGAAAGAGAAGGAGAAGGAGCGCGAGAAGAAGGAGCAGAAGGAGAGGGAGAAGAAGGAGAACGAGAUGAAGAAGAAAUUCAAGGUGAGAAAUUCAGGCCACGCCCCCCAAGGAGAAGCAACGCAGUGGAAUGGUUCUCCAGAGGUAAAAUUGUGGUAAAAGUUCAGGCCUCUUCCCUCAACAUCGAACUUCUCCAGUGCAGCUCCGCAUGGUGCAGCAGGGAGGUUCCCUCAGCCUGGAGAACCUGUCUGAAUUCAUUCCUGCAGCAGAACAGUGCUGAUGUUCACGUUUCCCCACAGGAACUCAUUAAGAGUCUCCUACUCUACUCGGCUCUUGCACAACCUCCACGUGAAGGCAUGUUCAAUGUUUUAUGGCACAUUGUUCUCUGACCUUGGCAUUUAUGGAGAAAAGUUUGAAAGUUUGAAAAAGUAUUUGGUUCACGCCCUUUUGCUCUCGUGCUCUGACCUAGGUUCUCCCAGCAUGAGAUGAGAAUGUUCUAAAGUGGUGGCAGUGGUGGCCUAGCGGUUAAGGAAGCGGCCCUGUAAUCAGAAGGUUGCCGGUUCAAAUCCCGAUCCACCAAGGUGCCACUGAGGUGCCAUCACUGCUGUGUAUCACAUGUGACAAUCACUUCACUUGCUUAAAGGGUGAUAUGGUGUGGCUGGUAUUGAAAAAAGGUUACAAGUCUUCUUCAUUCAGAAUGUUCCUAGAAUGUUCUUUAUUUAGGAUCUUCUGUGUGUGUGUGCAGAUCAGCGGUCAGGAGGAACCCAUGUAUGAAGUGCGCGUGAUGGUGGACAGUAAGGGCCGGAAGGACGACCUGCCGGUGAACAGUGGUGACCUGGUCAGUAUCAUCCGCACCACCAGCUGCCCCAAAGGAAAAUGGCUGGCCCGGGAUGGCGCCAAGCGAUGUGAGUUGUGGGCCUCAUGCUCUCCCUGACCCCGCCCCCGGCGUAGCUGAUCACCUGACCAGCUUGAUGCUCUGUUGUCCGCAGAUGGAUAUAUUUCAGUGAAGAGUGUGGACCUGGACAUUAAGGACAUGCUGGAGUUAGGUAAGAAGGCCUCGAAGGGAGCCAAUCACACAAACAGCAGCCAACUCGACAGAGGUGCCCUGAACCAGGACAACAGGUAACCAUGGAAACCGCCUACGGCUCCAUAAAAAAAUAAAUCACAUAUUUUUCAUCCUCA
ensembl:lncRNA